rnacentral:tRNA from 1 species
GGAGGAUUAGCUCAGCUGGGAGAGCACCUGCCUUACAAGCAGGAGGUCAGCGGUUCGAUCCCGCUAGGCUCCA